rnacentral:rRNA from 1 species
GACGAACGCUGGCGGCGUGCUUAACACAUGCAAGUCGAACGGUAAGGCUCCAGCUUGCUGGGGUACACGAGUGGCGAACGGGUGAGUAACACGUGGGUGACCUGCCCUGCACUUCGGGAUAAGCCUGGGAAACUGGGUCUAAUACCGGAUAGGACCGCACCGUGAGGGUGUGGUGGAAAGUUUUUUCGGUGUGGGAUGGGCCCGCGGCCUAUCAGCUUGUUGGUGGGGUAAUGGCCUACCAAGGCGGCGACGGGUAGCCGGCCUGAGAGGGUGGACGGCCACAUUGGGACUGAGCCACGGCCCAGCCUCCUACGGGAGGCAGCAGUGGGGAAUAUUGCACAAUGGGCGGAAGCCUGAUGCAGCGACGCCGCGUGGGGGAUGACGGCCUUCGGGUUGUAAACUCCUUUCACCAUCGACGAAGGGUUUCUGACGGUAGAUGGAGAAGAAGCACCGGCUAACUACGUG